UACGAAGGGGGCUAGCGUUGUUCGGAAUUACUGGGCGUAAAGGGCGCGUAGGCGGCGUGUCAAGUCAGGCGUGAAAGCCCCGGGCUCAACCUGGGAACCGCGCUUGAGACUGGCAUGCUCGAGUUCGGGAGAGGAUGGUGGAAUUCCCAGUGUAGAGGUGAAAUUCGUAGAUAUUGGGAAGAACACCGGUGGCGAAGGCGGCUCUCUGGACCGAUACUGACGCUGAGGCGCGAAAGCGUGGGGAGCAAACAGG
rnacentral:rRNA from 1 species